UUAUCUGUCUUUUUCUAAAAAGUAAUUCCCAGUGCAUUUCUCAAAAUUCAGUGAGAUAGUCGAUGAAUUAAGUCGUUGAUUCAAAUCAAGUGAAUCAACUGUUUUCUCCACAUCUGCAGAAGAGACAAAUGCUAUCAGGCUUCAGCUUAGCUCCUCAGCCUUUCCAAGAGGCUGCUGCAGUGCUUCAGCUGACCUGCAGCACAGCCGUACUCUGACAAAAGCAAGACUGAGUUUAAAAGCGGGCUUAGAAAACAAACACAGUUUAACCCAAGCCCAGCGUCCUCAAGCUGAAGUUAACUGGGUACUUACAUCAGGCAUGAACUCACUCUGUAGCUGAAGAAACUGCCACUGGCAACUCAUCCCUGCUGCCUUCCAAGUACUGAUAUCAGAGCGUUUGUGGCUCUGCAAUGACAGCAUGUCACUGUGCACACUGGGACCUUGCCAUGUCUCUGCCAACUCCUGACCAAAGCACGCUGUCCUCAGUGGGUAGCCAUGGGAAGACCAAUGGCCAGUAUGUGGACUGAAAAAGCCAAUGAAGCCAAUGUGGCGUAUAAAGGGAAGUUAUUUUGGAAUUGUUGAUGGCCAAUUUGCUUAAGAGUGAGAAAGAAAACAAAGCUAUGAAGUGACACUAUUGCAUGCUACUACAAUACCUGUCCUGAACCAAACCAAUCUCUAAGUGAGUUAGUUACAAAAAAUCAGACAGCUUUAAUAGUACAAGAACAGCAUUCUUAUUAAGGAACCUCAGCACAAUUGCUUUAAUCCAGUUUAACUAAACAUGUUCUGAAUUUAGCCAGUGCUGAACAUUAAAACCCUCCAAAAUCUCCUGGAUGGCCAUACAGCAGCACUGAGUAUAAUCAACCACUGAAUGUCAGUAUUGUUCCACACCAAGGCGGCCCAGACAUAUGAUCAGCUGUAAAGCUUAGAAUAGUUCUCUGUACAUUUUAACGUGGAUACAAUAGCACUGCUGUUAACAACUCCGGGCCCCAACUCCUAGGCACUGCACAUAAAACAGUGCAGAGCAGUUUCAGCACAUGCAGGACCCAGCAGCUGCACCUGACGCUGACAGAGUACAUCAGAGCUGCAUUACACAGCCGUUCUAAGCCCCAGCAGUGGUCUUGCUGUACAGGUUCAUACUGAUUCUACUGAUCAUAAGCUGCUCAUUUGUGAUUCUGUUGUUUGAGCUAGCACAGCUGUGCAGCAUGCCAACAUACUGGCUACCUACAUACAGCCACGUUGCUCCAUGCUGGUCUGCAGCCAGCCUCUGUAAGCACGGCCGCAAGUUUUGCAAUGCAUUCCACCCACAACACUAGACCAUGACAUGAUACACAGAUGAGAGAGGGGCUUCACAGCCAGAAGGGAUGGCAGUGGUGGACCCUUGCCCCUAUCUACUCAUGCUCAUGUGCCAACUGUGUUCCUAAGUCUGCAUGGCCUUGGGGUGAACGAGAAUAACAAACCGAGCAGUCAAGUCCCACCUAGCUGCAUUCCCCAUCUUCAGCCAUUUCUGCAGGAUUUCACAUGUGUAGCAGAAAUGCUAAGUCACGGCCUGAACCAGUGACUGAGCACCUGGUGGGAAGGCAGGGCCAGCCCAUGGGAGCUCAGGUGCAUGCGAUGCGUCUGGGUGACUAGAAGGGGUGGAGCCAGGACCCACCCCUUCCCAGACCUCAUUUCAGGGUUGGCAGUGAAGACAAAGGUAUCUCACUGGAGAUCUUUGCCUACUGGAGGCCUUCCAAAAGUUUUAGCAGUGCGCUAAUAAGAAACAUAAUUCAAAGUGCUCUGGAAAACUGCAGCUCUCUCCUUACAGCUAAUGUCUCCAGCCUGUACGCCCCAGCAGCCAUGGCACGACGCCGUCCCAUCUGCAGUGGGCAGCUCUGUUCAGACACUUCCCUUUGCCAGUGCUGAGCACAGCAGAACUCUUACAGCAGUGUGGAACCAGAGACAUUUCAUGUAUCCCAUGUGCUGUCAAACUGCUGGCACCAGCCAGAUAAAGAUGGAGCUGAUACUCGA